GGGCGGGGCGAGCGCGGGCCCGGCCGAGUCCCCGCCGUCCGCGCCCGGCGCCCGCAGCCCGAGCCGCACCCGCCGCGGACGGAGCUCAUGCGCGGGCCCAGCCGGCUCCGGUCCGCGCCCCCGCCCUGCCCCGGCCCCGGCCCCGGGGGCAGUCACUCCAGCAAGCGGUGGGGCAGGAGCUCCUGGAGUGGCAGCCUCUAUAGAAGCGAUGACAGAAUACAAGCUCGUGGUGGUGGGCGCUGGAGGCGUGGGAAAGAGUGCCCUGACCAUUCAGCUGAUCCAGAACCAUUUUGUGGACGAGUAUGACCCCACCAUAGAGGACUCCUAUCGGAAACAGGUGGUCAUCGAUGGGGAGACAUGUCUGCUGGACAUCUUAGACACGGCAGGUCAAGAGGAGUAUAGUGCCAUGAGGGACCAGUAUAUGCGCACAGGGGAGGGCUUCCUCUGUGUGUUUGCCAUCAACAACACCAAGUCUUUUGAGGACAUCCAUCAGUACAGGGAGCAGAUCAAGCGGGUGAAGGACUCAGAUGAUGUGCCAAUGGUGCUGGUGGGGAACAAGUGUGACUUGGCUGCUCGAACUGUUGAGUCUCGGCAGGCCCAGGACCUUGCCCGCAGCUAUGGCAUCCCCUACAUUGAAACAUCAGCCAAGACCCGGCAGGGCAGCCGCUCUGGCUCUGGCUCCAGCUCCGGGACCCUCUGGGACCCCCCGGGACCCCUGUGACCCAGCGGCCCCCAUGCUGGUGUGGAGGAUGCCUUCUACACACUAGUGCGUGAGAUUCGUCAGCAUAAACUGCGGAAGCUGAACCCACCCGAUGAGAGUGGUCCUGGCUGCAUGAGCUGCAAGUGUGUGCUAUCCUGACACCAGUGGUGUCCUUUGUGCCCGUCCCGGCACAGGCUCAGGACGUGGAGGUGCCGGAUGCAGGGAGGAGGUGCAGACGGAAGGAAGGAAAGAGAAGGGAAGGAAGGAAGGAAGCGAUGCUGGAGCCAGUCCAGUCCAGGGACGGUGGACAGAGGUGACCAAGACCUUCGCAUGGACAAUUUGAACAGACUGUCAUGAACUGUCCCUAUUGCCACUGGCACCCCAGUCCUCAACCCCUCUCAGUUCCCUUCGGGUGCCUAUGGUGCACAGGUUGAAUCACAGUAAAUUAUUUGACGGUC